rnacentral:rRNA from 1 species
UACGGAGGGGGCUAGCGUUAUUCGGAAUUACUGGGCGUAAAGGGCGUGUAGGCGGCUUCGUGUGUCAGAUGUGAAAUCCCUCGGCUCAACCGGGGAACUGCGUGGGAAACUGGGGAGCUUGAGUCCGGGAGAGGUGAGUGGAAUUCCAGGUGUAGCGGUGAAAUGCGUAGAUAUCGGGAGGAACACCGGUGGCGAAGGCGGCUCACUGGACCGGUACUGACGCUGAGACGCGAAAGCCUGGGGAGCAAAC